AGUGAACGCUGGCGGUAGGCCUAACACAUGCAAGUCGAACGGCAGCACAGUAAGAGCUUGCUCUUACGGGUGGCGAGUGGCGGACGGGUGAGGAGUACAUCGGAAUCUACUUUUUCGUGGGGGAUAACGUAGGGAAACUUACGCUAAUACAGCAUACGACCUACGGGUGAAAGCAGGGGAUCUUCGGACCUUGCGGGAGUGAAUGGGCCGAUGGCGGAUUAGCUUGUUGGCGGGGUAGAGGCCCACCAAGGCUAUGACGGGUAGCCGGUCUGAGAGGGUGACAGGCCAAAUUGGGACUGAGAUACGGCCCAGACUCCUACGGGAGGCAGCAGUGGGGAAUAUUGCACAAUGGGCGGAAGCCUGAUGCAGCAACGCCGCGUGCGGGAUGACGGCCUUCGGGUUGUAAACCGCUUUCGCCUGUGACGAAGCGUGAGUGACGGUAAUGGGUAAAGAAGCACCGGCUAACUACGUG
rnacentral:rRNA from 1 species